rnacentral:tRNA from 1 species
GCCUCUGUGGCGGAACUGGUAGACGCGGCAGACUCAAAAUCUGCUUUCCAUCCGGAAGUGGGGGUUCGAGUCCCUCCAGAGGCACCA